rnacentral:rRNA from 1 species
CUACGGGAGGCUGCAGUGAGAAAUAUUGCACAAUGGGGGGAACCCUGAUGCAGCAACGCCGCGUGGAGGAUGACGCAUUUCGGUGUGUAAACUCCUUUUAUAUGUCAAGAAAAUGACGGUAGCAUAUGAAUAAGCACCGGCUAACUCCGUGCCAGCAGCCGCGGUAAUACGGAGGGUGCAAGCGUUACUCGGAAUCACUGGGCGUAAAGGACGCGUAGGCGGGUUGGAAAGUCAGGUGUGAAAUCCUACAGCUUAACUGUAGAACUGCACUUGAAACUUCUAAUCUAGAGUAUGGGAGGGGGAGAUGGAAUUAGUGGUGUAGGGGUAAAAUCCGUAGAUAUCACUAGGAAUACCUAAAGCGAAGGCGAUCUCCUGGAACAUUACUGACACUAAGGCGUGAAAGCGUGGGGAGCAAACAGGAUUAGAUACCCUAGUAGUC